rnacentral:snoRNA from 1 species
UAGCAAUGAAAACUAAAUGAUACCUCGCUUUGGGGUGGAAGUGCAUCCGUAACAUGCUACAUGAAUAAAGGACUUCUCAGGGCUGCCAACCUUAGAGGUUGAGUGGUAGUAUAUUUCUCCUACACAG